UAACGCGUUAAUUCGCCCGCCUGGGGAGUACGGCCGCAAGUUAAACUCAAAUGAAUUGACGGGGCCGCACAAGCGGUGGAGCAUGUGGUUUAAUUCGAUGCAACGCGAAGAACCUUACUUGGUCUUGACAUCCACAGAACUUAGCAGAGAUGCUUUGGUGCCUUCGGGAACUGUGAGACAGGUGCUGCAUGGCUGUCGUCAGCUCGUGUUGUGAAAUGUUGGGUUAAGUCUCCGCAACGAGCGCAACCCUUAUCCUUUGUUGCCAGCGGUUAGGCCGGGAACUCAAAGGAGACUGCCAGUGAUAAACUGGAGGAAGGUGGGGAUGACGUCAAGUCAUCAUGGCCCUUACGACCAGGGCUACACACGUGCUACAAUGGCAUAUACAAAGAGAAGCGACCUCGCGAGAGCAAGCGGACCUCAUAAAGUAUGUCGUAGUCCGGAUUGGAGUCUGCAACUCGACUCCAUGAAGUCGGAAUCGCUAGUAAUCGUAGAUCAGAAUGCUACGGUGAAUACGUUCCCGGGCCUUGUACACACCGCCCGUCACACCAUGGGAGUGGGUUGCAAAAGAAGUAGGUAGCUUAACUUUCGGGAGGGCGCGUAACAUUUGUUUG
rnacentral:rRNA from 1 species